rnacentral:tRNA from 1 species
GGGAAUGGAUGAGUCCUGGUGGGCUCUCUGGACUUCAAAUCCAGUAGCGGGCAGGGUAUGUCCGCGGUGGGUUCGAUUCCCAUGCAUUCCCGCCA